rnacentral:miRNA from 1 species
CUCAUUAUUCCUGUCCUUCAUA